GAUGAACCGCUCCUGUGGUUAGAGCGUCCGCCUCGGAUGCGGAAUGUCGUGGGUUCGAUCCCCGGCUGAGUCAUACCA